CCACAUACUGAAUCUGAAACCAGUCUGGGCUGUGUGAAAUGUCUCAAAAGCAAACAGACGGAGUUGACAGUGUCAGCGCCUAAGAACUUCAUUACUGGGUCAGGGUCUCUGCCUGGAACUCAGAGAUCUGUUCACCUCAGUACUGGGAUUAAAGGUAUGUGCCACCACGCCCACCCAGCUAAAACUUUUUUUUUUCUUUUGGCAUAAAGCAGUUGUUUCUGGGUUUGGCCUCACAAAGAAUCCACUUUAGAGCUUCGAUGUAUUCCAAAUGCAACGAUGUCACUAGCGAGUGGCCGGGAUGCCCUAAACUGUAUAUGCCCCCAAGGCGG
rnacentral:lncRNA from 1 species